AUUGAACGCUGGCGGCAGGCUUAACACAUGCAAGUCGAGCGGGGGAAGGUAGCUUGCUACCGGACCUAGCGGCGGACGGGUGAGUAAUGCUUAGGAAUCUGCCUAUUAGUGGGGGACAACAUCUCGAAAGGGAUGCUAAUACCGCAUACGUCCUACGGGAGAAAGCAGGGGAUCUUCGGACCUUGCGCUAAUAGAUGAGCCUAAGUCGGAUUAGCUAGUUGGUGGGGUAAAGGCCUACCAAGGCGACGAUCUGUAACGGGUCUGAGAGGCUGAUCCGCCACACUGGGACUGAGACACGGCCCAGACUCCUACGGGAGGCAGCAGGGGGGAAUAUUGGACAAUGGGGGGAACCCUGAUCCAGCCAUGCCGCGUGUGUGAAGAAGGCCUUAUGGUUGUAAAGCACUUUAAGCGAGGAGGAGGCUACUUUAGUUAAUACCUAGAGAUAGUGGACGUUACUCGCAGAAUAAGCACCGGCUAACUCUGUGCCAGCCGCCGCAGUAA
rnacentral:rRNA from 1 species